rnacentral:rRNA from 1 species
GGUGAGUCGGGUCCUAAGGCGAGGCCGACAGGCGUAGUCGAAUGGAUGAACGGGUGGAUAUUCCCGUACCGACCAUGGACCGGCAAAACCGAGACGGUGAGUACUAACCUCCGCCUCGUGGUGGUUCCUUCCUUCGGGUUGGUCCCGCCGCGUGGUGUUGGGAGCGUAGCCGCAGUAGGUCAGCGCAGGGGUGACACGGAAUGGGAGCCGGCCGCGGAGGUGGUUUUCCGUGGUCAAGCACGCAGCCAGUCAUGUAGGCAAAUCCGCAUGGCGCGCAUGGCGAGGUGUGAUGAUGGGAGCCUUUUGGGCUCGAUAUCCGGUUGUCCAGGCCGUCGAGAAAAGCCUCGGCGUGAGGGCCAUGGCCGCCCGUACCCCAAACCGACACUGGUGGUCAGGUAGAGAAUACCAAGGCGAUCGAGCGAAUCCUGGUCAAGGAACUCGGCAAAUCACUCCCGUGCCUUCGGUAUAAGGGAGACCCGCUGGGGUGAACCGGCUAGCCCGGGGAGCUUUGGUGGGUGGCACAGACCAGGGGGUAGCGACUGUUUACCAAAAACACAGGUGCAUGCGAAGGCGAAAGCCGCUGUAUAUGCACUGACGCCUGCCCGGUGCCGGAAGGUUAAGAGGAUCCGUCAAUCCCUUCGGGGACGAAGCGGUGAAUUCAAGCCCCGGUAAACGGCGGUGGUAACUAUAACCAUCCUAAGGUAGCGAAAUUCCUUGUCGGGUAAGUUCCGACCUGCACGAAUGGCGUAACGACUUCCCCACUGUCUCGACCAGGAGCUCGGCGAAAUUGCAGUACGAGUAAAGAUGCUCGUUAAGCGCAGAAGGACGAAAAGACCCCGGGACCUUUACUAUACCUUGGUAUUGGCGUUAGGCGCGGAUUGUGUAGCAUAGGCGGGAGGCUUCGAAGCGUGGGCGCCAGCUCAUGUGGAGCCGCAAGGUGAAAUACCGCUCUGUUCUCGUUUGACGUCUAACCUCGACAAGUCAUCCUUGUCAGGGACAGUGCCUGGCGGGUAGUUCAACUGGGGCGGUUGCCUCCCAAAGAGUAACGGAGGCGCUCAAAGGUCCGCUCAGCCCGGUUGGCAAUCGGGUGUCGAGUGUAAUCGCACAAGCGGGCUUGACUGCGAGGACGACGGUCCGAGCAGGGACGAAAGUCGGAGAUAGUGAUCCGGUGCCGGCGCACGGGCGCGGCAUCGCUCAACGGAUAAAAGGUACCCCGGGGAUAACAGGCUGAUCAUUCCCAAGAGUCCAUAUCGACGGGAUGGUUUGGCACCUCGAUGUCGGCUCGUCGCAUCCUGGGGCUGGAGCAGGUCCCAAGGGUUCGGCUGUUCGCCGAUUAAAGCGGCACGCGAGCUGGGUUCAGAACGUCGUGAGACAGUUUGGUCUCUAUCCUCUGCGCUCGUUGGAAUCCUGAGGAGGCCUGCCCAUAGUACGAGAGGACCUGGGUGGACGAACCUCUGGUAUGCCGGUUGUCGCGCCAGCGGCACGGCCGGUUGGCUACGUUCGGGAGGGAUAACCGCUGAAAGCAUCUAAGCGGGAAGCCUGCUCCAAGAUUAGGAUUCCGUACGGUCUUGAACCGUUGUAGCCCGCAUGUUGAACACGUGUUUGAUAGGCCGGAGGUGGAAGCCCCGUGAGGGGUGGAGCCGACCGGUACUAACGGGCGACGGCGACACAA